UACGUAGGGUGCAAGCGUUAAUCGGAAUUACUGGGCGUAAAGCGCGCGCAGGCGGUUAUGUAAGACAGGAGUGAAAUCCCAGGGCUUAACCUUGGAACUGCAUUUGAGACUGCAUAGCUAGAGUACGGUAGAGGGGGAUGGAAUUCCGCGUGUAGCAGUGAAAUGCGUAGAUAUGCGGAGGAACACCGAUGGCGAAGGCAAUCCCCUGGACCUGUACUGACGCUCAUGCACGAAAGCGUGGGGAGCGAACAGG
rnacentral:rRNA from 1 species